UAAGCUCUUAUCUAAACAACAGUUCCAACCAAAUUCGAUUGAGAGAAAGAUGAAUACAUCAAAGGUCGUCUUUCAAGCACUUCCGAUUCGCUAUUCCCUGGGUCCAUGGUGUUUACCCCGUAAGUUUUUGGUGAACUACCCAUAAAAGUUUUCUCUUGCAUUCACCAGGGUACCGAACAAAUAAACAAGGAAGGAGCGGUGGAAAUUAAGGUCGAUUCAGUGAAUUACAAGUCGCCGGUGGGGAAAGACGAACCAAGAAAGGUGGUGGAAGUUAAUCCUGACAAUGUAGAUAAAGCAAGCAACUACGCUAAUCCGGGUGAGGCUUUGUCAAGUCGAGUACGAGUUGACCCGUCUCACUUUGUUCCUAAUAAGUAGAGCUAUUAAUAGCAAACCACCCUUUAAAAAUAGACUUUGUUGUCAUCGUGUUUGUCGACCAUUAAUCUAAGUACUUUUCAUAUCGGUUAUAAUCAGAGACUUAUGUGUAUGUUAUUUUGAAUAUUGCAAUUUUUUGGCAAACGAAUGAAGUGUAUGAACCGACCGGAGCGUUUGUGUGUAUAAAUAUGUAAUAUAUUCGAGUUCACAUCUUAUAUC